GUGGGAGCGAGCCUGCUCGCGAAUACGGUAUGUCAGACACAUUGAUGUUGCUGAUACACCGCUUUCGCGAGCAGGCUCGCUCCCAC
rnacentral:misc_RNA from 1 species